rnacentral:rRNA from 1 species
AUAUAUGUUGGUUCAAGCGUGUAGUCAUAUCCCUUAGGCAAAUCCGGGGGACUUAGAUGAGGCGUGAUAACGAGUCUGCUUGCAGACGAAGUGAGUGAUACCCUGCUUCCAGGAAAAGCCACUAAGCUUCAGCUACAUAUUGACCGUACCGCAAACCGACGCUGGUGCGCGAGAUGAGUAUUCUAAGGCGCUUGAGAGAACUCUGGAGAAGGAACUCGGCAAAUUGACACCGUAACUUCGGAAGAAGGUGUGCCUUUAGUAGGUGAUGGGAUUUACUCCUUGAGCCCAAUGAGGCCGCAGAGAAUCGGUGGCUGCAACUGUUUAUUAAAAACACAGCACUCUGCAAAGACGAAAGUCGACGUAUAGGGUGUGACUCCUGCCCGGUGCUGGAAGAUUAAAUGAUGGGGUGCAAGCUCUUGACUGAAGUCCCAGUAAACGGCGGCCGUAACAAUAACGGUCCUAAGGUAGCGAAAUUCCUUGUCGGGUAAGUUCUGACCUGCACGAAUGGAGUAAUGAUGGCCACACUGUCUCCUCCAGAGACUCAGCGAAGUUGAAAUGUUUGUGAUGAUGCAAUCUCCCCGCGGAAAGACGGAAAGACCCCAUGAACCUUUACUGUAGCUUUACAUUGGACUUUGAACAGAUCUGUGUAGGAUAGGUGGGAGGCUUUGAAGUAGGGACGCUAGUUUCUAUGGAGCCAACGUUGAAAUACCACCCUGGUGUGUUUGAGGUUCUAACCUUGGUCCCUUAUCGGGAUUGGGGACAGUGUAUGGUGGGCAGUUUGACUGGGGCGGUCUCCUCCCAAAGUGUAACGGAGGAGUUCGAAGGUACGCUAAAUACGGUCGGAAAUCGUGUUGAUAGUGCAUUGGCAUAAGCGUGCUUGACUGCGAGACUGACAAGUCGAGCAGGUACGAAAGUAGGACAAAGUGAUCCGGUGGUUCUGUAUGGAAGGGCCAUCGCUCAACGGAUAAAAGGUACUCUGGGGAUAACAGGCUGAUACCGCCCAAGAGUUCAUAUCGACGGCGGUGUUUGGCACCUCGAUGUCGGCUCAUCUCAUCCUGGGGCUGUAGCCGGUCCCAAGGGUAUGGCUGUUCGCCAUUUAAAGAGGUACGUGAGCUGGGUUUAAAACGUCGUGAGACAGUUUGGUCCCUAUCUUCCGUGGGCGCUGCAAGAUUGAGAGAGCCUGCUCCUAGUACGAGAGGACCGGAGUGGACGCACCUCUGGUGUAUCGGUUGUCACGCCAGUGGCAUCGCCGAGUAGCUAAGUGCGGAAGAGAUAACCGCUGAAAGCAUCUAAGCGGGAAACUCGUCUCAAGAUGAGUCUUGCCGGGGCCUAGAGCCCCCUGAAGGGUCGUUCGAGACCAGGACGUUGAUAGGCUGGGUGUGGAAGCGCGGUAACGCGUUAAGCUAACCAGUACUAAUUGCCCGUGAGGCUUGACCC